GAUGAAGAACGUAGCGAAAUGCGAUAAGUAAUGUGAAUUGCAGAAUUCAGUGAAUCAUCGAAUCUUUGAACGCACCUUGCGCCCUUUGGCUAUUCCGAAGGGCAUGCCUGUUUGAGUAUCGUGAACACCUCAACUCUCAUGGUUUGCCAUGAUGAGCUUGGACUUUGGGGGUUUUGCUGGCCUUUGGUCGGCUCCUCUCAAACGGAUCAGCUUUCCAGUGUUUGGUGGCGUCACGGGUGUGAUAACUAUCUACGCCUGUGGUUUUCUGCCAGAUAACCUUCAGCGAUGGAGGUUCGCUGGGGCUCAUAAAUGUCUCUCUUCAGUGGAGGCAGCUUUUUGGACGUUUGAUCUCAAAUCAGGUAGGACUACCCGCUGAACUUAAGCAUAUCAAUAAGCGGAGGA
rnacentral:misc_RNA from 1 species